CCAAGCGUGCAACAGCUAUUGUCCACGAUGUCUGCGAUGGUGACCACACAGUAUGCGGAGCAACAUGUGCCGGAACACAGCCAAAAGAGCGAGCAACGCAGUGAGUCCAUUUAUUUAUUUAUUUAGAGAAUACUGCUGGCCCAUUUAGAGGCCCUAGCAGGAGAGGACACAAAUGCAUUCAAGUAUUGAAUUAUACAUGAUAUAUACAGUCAGAUUAGUACAAAGAACACCAAGCACUGUAACGACAAAAAUCAAAGUAGAAAAAUCGAUAUCAAGACAAACUAAAACAGGUUGGUGCUUAUAUAUGCCUAUAAGCUCUACAUUAAUACCAACACAGCAGAAUACCACAACUCUCUAACACCUGUGUCGGGUGACGUGCAACUGGUAACGUCUGUACAAAUGUCUCAAGCACUUUUUCUUUUCAGGUACAGGCUGUGAGGGGACGGCGGGAGAAACAAAGCUGUUGCUCGACUACUACCAGCAGUAUUUUUCCCAAAUAUGGCCAAUGAAGAAAUUUAAAAAUAAAAAGGCAAUGUUUGCCAGAAUAGCGGCCAACAUCACAGAGGCUGUCGGGGUCCCUAAAACAGGGGACCAGUGCUGCAGCCGCUACAAAACAGUCAUGCGACGAAAAAGAAGCGCUGUAGCACAUAACAACAAAUCGGUGAAUUCUCCUUGCGACGUUCCCUUUGAAGACGACAUAGCCAAAAUACGUUGGCUAGAUGACAGCCUUGAGCCAGAAGAGCUCAGGGACAGCUCUUGAAUAGUCUCUAUUAAAAUACCGCCCAGCCAAGCGUCGACUAGCCAAUCGUCGACAAGCCAAGCAUCGAGUAGCCAGGAGCUGUCAAGCCAAGGUUCAACUAGCCAGGAGUUGACCAGCACAACGAAGGAACCUGAGCCCAAAAAGCCAAAACUCUCGGCUUCUAGAAUGCUGGAAAUGAAUCACUUCUUUGAUGAAAUGAGCAGAAUUCAGGAAGAAAAAGAAAAAAAAACGAACUGAACGCGAGAAUGAAAGAAGGAAGCGUCAUGAAGAGAGGCAAGAACAGAAGGAGCACAUUUGGCUAGAAAAAGCAAAACAGCAUGAAGAAAAAAUGAAGCUUUUGAGCCGCUUUCUUGGCUUAGACAAUGAAUGAUUCCAGUGGCCUAAAAUACUAUUAGCAUGUUGAAAUAAAAUGUGCAGUGCAAAA